UACGGAGGGGGCCAGCGUUGUUCGGAAUCACUGGGCGUAAAGAGCUCGUAGGCGGUCUGUCACGUCUGCUGUGAAAACUCGGGGCUUAACCCCGGGCCUGCAGUGGGUACGGGCAGACUAGAGUGCGGUAGGGGAGACUGGAAUUCCUGGUGUAGCGGUGAAAUGCGCAGAUAUCAGGAGGAACACCGAUGGCGAAGGCAGGUCUCUGGGCCACUACUGACGCUGAGAAGCGAAAGCAUGGGGAGCGAACAGG
rnacentral:rRNA from 1 species